rnacentral:rRNA from 1 species
CCUACGGGAGGCAGCAGUGGGGGAUAUUGCACAAUGGGGGAAACCCUGAUGCAGCGACGCCGCGUGGGCGAAGAAGUAUUUCGGUAUGUAAAGCCCUAUCAGCAGGGAAGAAGAAAUGACGGUACCUGAGUAAGAAGCACCGGCUAAAUACGUGCCAGAAGCCGCGGUAAUACGUAUGGUGCAAGCGUUAUCCGGAUUUACCGGGUGUAAAGGGAGCGCAGGCGGCACGGCAAGCCUGAUGUGAAAGCCCGCGGCCCAACCGCGGGACUGCAUUGGGAACUACCGGGCUGGAGUGCCGGAGAGGUAGGCGGAAUUCCUAGUGUAGCGGUGAAAUGCGUAGAUAUUAGGAGGAACACCAGUGGCGAAGGCGGCUUACUGGACUGUAACUGACGUUGAGGCUCGAAAGCGUGGGGAGCAAACAGGAUUAGAUACCCUAGUAGUC